UUCUGCAACGCGCACAGCGAGCGUUAACUAUCGGACUUUGACUGUAGGUCACGAGCAUAUCCUGUGGUUAACAAAGAUAACGUUUGGACUGAACAAAAAGAAAGUAAGUUCCCACUUUCAUAAUGUUUCAACAUCGUUGGGUAAGCUCUAAUUAAGUGUUGACUACAUAUUGGAUACAUCGACUCGAGGUGAGGAGGUAACUAGAUAAGCCUUUUAGAGUAAAAGGCGGGCGUGGAUUUAUAAUUUAGCUGUAAUAGUUGCAACAUAAUUGCAACGGCCGACAGGAAUUCCGUAGACGCUUAUCAUUUCCAACUACCCUUAUAAUGUUUUUUUACUCGAUGGCUAUGUUGUAUUUGAUUGUGUGAGUCAUCUGCUUGUCUUCUUAUGUUCUUAGAAGCAUGCCUUGGCCGAGUUGACAUUCAGGAUGUAUGACACUUAUCAAUAACAAACCAGAUGAAAAGAAUUCAGUCAUUUUAAACAUAAUAAGUUUCUGGAUGUCGUUGAUUGUCACGGACGGAUGUCAACAGUGGAAUAUAUUUCUUAAGCAAAGAUUGUGAUUAGAUUGCUGGGCCGGUGGUGUGAUUCGGGAGAGUGGAGACGGAUAUCGGCAAACUAAUACUUAUUCAAAUCCUGUCGACACUGUUUAAUACUUGCUAAUUGAUACUGGUGAUUACACAUGCAUAUAUCUGUCGGGCGUUUGUAAUAUAUGCCCAACUCCGGCUUCAACGAGUUAAAUCGCUUGAGAAUGCUGUGGUGAUUACACAGCGGCAGAGAUAACUAAAGAUCCACUAUUUUUAUAGACCAUGGGUAUGGAGCGACUGCACUUCCUCCUGAUCAUAACCAUAGGAAUAUUUACCUCACUCGAUUGUGGAGAAUGUCUCAACAAAGUCAGAUUCUGUCGGAUAAUGUGUGCUCGAGGACAAGGCGGGGAUGCUUGUCGAUGUAAUGCCGUCCAUUUUGCGGGGAAAAGGACUUCAGAGACGAGCGUUCAUCCGCCUCGGAGAUUAUCCAAUUUAUUGAGUGUAAACAACGACAGAUCUAGACAGAGGGAGUUAGCAUACUUAGUACAUGUAAUCGCAAACCUUCACGAUGAUGACAAACUUUUGGAUUCUGCUGAAACUACUCGGAGUACGAAAUCGGGAACAAGGACUCAUGGAAGCCGCAAUCACAUAAACACGAAAAAGGAAGAUCAAUUAACGGAUCUGGAGAAAAUAAAAAAAAUAGAAAGAUUCAUCACUGAGCUUGAGCAAACGGAGGAAGGAGCGAAUUCCUGAUUGUCGAUACCAAUCCUGGUUACAGCUAAUUCAGGAUUGAUCAAACGUAAAAGACGGCCGCCACUCGACCACCUGGCCCACUGUUAGCUACCGGCAUAUCAUUCAGAGGAAAAGGGAAGUCGACAUAUAUUGCUCUGAAGUAUUUUGAGCGAGACUCUUUAUCUAUCGCUAACGUUGCUGUCUGCCAAUUUCUUUCAAGGCGGGCUGCGACAUAUUUACAACAGAAUCGUCGUUGACAUGCUUGAUAGCAGUUGACGGUUUGGACUUAUAUUAGGGAAUUUUCGCAAGUCCCCGAAACACCAACGCGAACACCCAUCUCACUGUUUGGCCUCCUGAUAACGAAGUCGAACAAUAGGAUAGGCGUUCACAUGGACGUUUCGGGGGCUUUGCGAAAACUUCCAAUAGUAUUGGACAAACCCGUAUGAAAUGUUAAUGACAUGUCUUAACAUUGAAAUGAAAUCUUCAUGUAGAAACUCCGCUUUUGGUCCCUCCGGGUAAGCGCUAUAAAUAAUGCACACGAAACACAAUGAAAACCACCUUUUUUUAUAACGCAUCGAUUCUGGCCGAUUCGACCGACUUUUCCGUCGGUUAACUUUGGCAUUAUUGAUGAUGGCGAUUAACGAUGGCGCUUACCUACAGGGCAUGAUGAACUGGUUGCGGGAUAUUGAAACUGUGCAUGUUCUACUUGAAAAUAUUGGAUAUUUGUUCGGAUGGACAAAUGGCCAUAUUGACACAUCAAGAAGCCUUUCGUCAAUGACAUCAUAGUUUGCCAAAUUUGCAAUGGUCUUAUCUCGUUAGCUAAAUGACAUGUCAUGGCCGGGAAAGAAAGAAAUUGUUCAAUAAGAAGUUGGAAAGACUGUGUUGUUGGAUUAUUUAUGUGUUAUUCUGGAAAUACGAUUCUUCAAGCAUUAAAUAUAGAAAAGAAACCCGCUGGUUUGUCCUACCGAUAGCGAGCAAGUUUGUUGAUAUGCAUGGGUUGUUUUUGUGCGUGCACCGUAGAGUAACCCGCUGGUUAACUUACUCCAUAAUUUAAUGCAAAUGAUGUCAUACUGUCCAUGUUACCAGAUGAGCUCACAGUUUAUUUUAGAUAAUUUACGAAUUAGCGCACAUUCUUGCAGACUUGUCAGGUGAAGCAGCGAUUGUAGCACUAUCUAGGGCAGGCUGCUCAGUGGAAGGCCGGAUAAUCUUGAAAACUGCACUUUAUAUGAACUUUAAUUAUUCAUGCUUCUCUUCUCAGUUAAAGAAAGUUAUAAAAAAACUAGGAAAAAUGACUGGUGACAAAAACAAAUUAUAUACAUGUACUAUUGAUUUUGAAUUACUCCCAUAAUAUAUCAACCAUAAUACUACCGAACUUGAGCCACAUGGAAUUAAUACUUUUUUGCUUAUGUUUCUAGUUUGUUUGAUCUCAUCUCCUGUGUUGGUUUAAGGAAUUGAUACCGAACUGGAGGUGUUGGUCGUCUCACCAAAACCGUACAGGUAGAGCUUAAAUGCAGACUAAAACCGAGGCGGAUAUACGAGGUUUGGGGAGUUUUUUUUUGCUCCGACAGAGUGGAUUAGGUGAGACAAUCAAUACCGACAGUGGGGUAUCAACUUAUAUUCGAAAACAUCUAAAAUUACACAACAAAUAAUGUGAUUUUGAAGGAUUUUUGACUGCGCCCGUAUUACUCACCAGUCAAUACGGUUUUGGUUGUCUGACACCCGCUAACUUAAAAAUGAGGCUCCGUUGGCGAAUAGCGCAUUUACACUGUAAUCUGCGGCUCAUUAUACAUCAAUAUGUUUUUAAAAUGUUGGGUUACAUGCGUUUAUUAACAUUUUCGACACUUCACCAGCCGAUCGAGUUUGUUUGGUCGCUGACAAAGUCUCAGGCGAUUGUAUUAAUCAACCAAUGAUUCAUUUUAUGUCCUUAGGGUGGUAAACGAUGUUACUUUUGCUUCCUUUGUGCGAUAUACACCAAUACCUCCGUGAUGCACAACCCACAGAACAAUGUGGCCGCAGUGUUUGAGUGGUGCCAUAACGAAUCCAACUGGCUCUUGCAAUACAGUGUGGGAAAAUGUAAAUGUCAAUAAUAUUGUGCAACAACCCAGCUCAAUAACUAAUGCAGGUAUCAAACAAACUAAACACAGAAAGUGUUGGAAUCAUCAUUAUGUGGCCGAAGUUUGGUAAAUCAAUGAUUGAUACUGUGGAGUUCAAAAGAUAUAAAAGAUAUGAGCGGGAUUUUUUUCACCUGGUAUGAUAUGUUGAUAAUGAAAAGGAAACAGAGUGAUAUAUAGUUCACCACAAGUUCUCUGUAUGAUACAGAUAUGACGGUCAUCAGUAUUAAAAGCGUCUUUAUGUGCGCAGUGGAUAUGUAGGGCGAUUCAUGAUCAUCAAGCAUUGUACUAAUAAUGAUUGCUGAUGCAUUUA